rnacentral:lncRNA from 1 species
UUGUGUGUAAAUAUUUAUCCCUCAUUCAUGUGGAAAUUCUUAUCCUUGAAAGGUGCAUGUGGGUUGAUAAAUCUGUUAGAUGAUCUUUUUCUACAACUAAUCUGCUUUUGCCUAAAUCAUCUACUUUCCCUAGUUUCAGGUGCUCACUGUCAGAAAAAAUAUGAAUUAUGUACCAGCAAUGGAUCAAAGGUAUAGACAGAAGAUAAAAUAGGUGGAUAUAUAAGAAGUUAUGAGCACACGACCGUGGCACAUCCAUGAGAAAGGAGAACACGAAAUAGAGAGGAAAAUUCAUCCUCUACUCUUCUAGAAAAGGUAGAAUAGAGAAGAAGAAUUAAUAUUCUAUCUCUAAUAUAAUAGGGUAAACACAAAGAUAGCAGAAAUACAAUAGAAGAUAAAGAGGAAAGCUCCUCUAAAAAGGAGAGAAGGGAGUACGGUGGAUGAUCGGACUAGAGCUGACCCUAGGUCAUGAACUUCUAUAGACAUAAAAGCCUAAGGUACACUGUCCCUCGUAUUGGGACUGACCCUUACAUGUAAAAGAUGAAAAUAUACUUUACAUUUUCUGACGCUUUAUUGAGGCCCUCACCACUCAGAAACUGUCAUGUAAGACUCAAUCAAGGGAUGAGAAGAAAAACCCCAACCAACUACGAUUAUCAACAGAACCUAUUCUGACAGACAUGUCCAUCAUCAACAAAAGUGGUCCGUUAAAAGGGAUCAGGAGAUGAACAUUUGGGGAUAUUGGGAGGCACAACAAUAGCCAGCAACCAAAGAUGGCGCUCCCCACAGAUCACUGACAUGAAUCACAACCACUAAGCAAGAGAGGAGGACGCAGGGAUCUAGGGGCUAGAAGGCAACCACAGUAAGCCGUUAAAUAUGGAGGAAGGAGUCAAGGAAGGGUAGGAAGAAAGUGGAAGUUGAAGAAGAA